AUGCUAGUUCAAGACGGCCAAAAAAAGAAGGUGACAACGCAAAGCAAAGCUGGUUACCUGCAGGAGGCAAGAAGAGACGUCGGCCUGGUCUGGCCGGCCACCCGGCGGCCGGCAGCGGUCAGCGCUCGUGCAGCCAUGGCCGGAACAGCAGAGCAACUUCAGAGCAGGAGCAGUACGAGUUUGAGCUUAUGCGCUCGGUGCAAUGCCGGUGCGGGACGACUAGUGGCAAGAGAGCGCGAGGAAUGGCGUGGCGACACGCGGAGCGGCGCCAUUGACGAGACAAAGCAUAGGCAGAGCAGAGGGUCGGUGAUGGAUGCGGUGAGGAGCAGGAGACACGCACGCACGCACGCACGCACGCCUCGACAGCAUGCCACCGCCCUUUUCGUCGGACAAAGACAAGCGCAGAAUCUCCGCUUUUAUUCCAGCAUCGAUGCUUUCUCAGGGAUAUUCCCAAUAUUUUCCUUUUUGCUGCUCACUUGGUUUCAGAAUAUUAAUUUUUCAAAUUUCAAACUUAAUUAUGUAUGUCUGAUUAAGUGUUUUUAA
rnacentral:rRNA from 1 species